AAGAUGGCCGCCGUACCUCGUCCCUUUUAAAAGGCGCUCCUCGCAUUUUAUUAAUAAAAAUAUGAAAAAACGGGAUUUUAUUUAAUUCUAAGUCGUAAAUCGGUCGAAUCAGUGUUGGUGCCCGGUUUCGCGUGUGUUUUUCGGCAGUCGGCCCAUAAAUCGCAAGAAUUAUGCAUAUGCAGCGGUAUAACCGUAGGGGGUGAUGGGCAGCAGGUCGCCCCAUCUGGAGGCCCUGGCGCAAUGG